rnacentral:rRNA from 1 species
GGGGAAUUGUUCGCAAUGGGCGCAAGCCUGACGACGCAACGCCGCGUGGAGGAUGAAGACUUUCGGGUCGUAAACUCCUUUCGACCGAGAUGAAUGUCCCGUGACCCAACACGUCGCGGGAGUGACAGUAUCGAGGGAAGAAGCCCCGGCUAACUCUGUGCCCGCAGCCGCGGUAAUACAGGGGGGGCUAGCGUUGUUCGGAAUUACUGGGCGUAAAGGGUUCGUAGGUGGCUCGCUAAGUCAGACGUGAAAUCCCUCAGCUUAACUGGGGAACUGCGUCUGAGACUGGCGAGCUCGAGUGCAGGAGAGGAACGCGGAAUUCCAGGUGUAGCGGUGAAAUGCGUAGAUAUCUGGAGGAACACCGGUGGCGAAGGCGGCGUUCUGGACUGCAACUGACACUGAGGAACGAAAGCCAGGGUAGCAAA